rnacentral:rRNA from 1 species
UCUGGUAUUGAUUGGUGCUUGCAUCAUGAUUUACAUUUGAGUGAGUGGCGAACUGGUGAGUAACACGUGGGAAACCUGCCCAGAAGCGGGGGAUAACACCUGGAAACAGAUGCUAAUACCGCAUAACAACUUGGACCGCAUGGUCCGAGUUUGAAAGAUGGCUUCGGCUAUCACUUUUGGAUGGUCCCGCGGCGUAUUAGCUAGAUGGUGGGGUAACGGCUCACCAUGGCAAUGAUACGUAGCCGACCUGAGAGGGUAAUCGGCCACAUUGGGACUGAGACACGGCCCAAACUCCUACGGGAGGCAGCAGUAGGGAAUCUUCCACAAUGGACGAAAGUCUGAUGGAGCAACGCCGCGUGAGUGAAGAAGGGUUUCGGCUCGUAAAACUCUGUUGUUAAAGAAGAACAUAUCUGAGAGUAACUGUUCAGGUAUUGACGGUAUUUAACCAGAAAGCCACGGCUAACUACGUGCCAGCAGCCGCGGUAAUACGUAGGUGGCAAGCGUUGUCCGGAUUUAUUGGGCGUAAAGCGAGCGCAGGCGGUUUUUUAAGUCUGAUGUGAAAGCCUUCGGCUCAACCGAAGAAGUGCAUCGGAAACUGGGAAACUUGAGUGCAGAAGAGGACAGUGGAACUCCUGGUGUAGCGGUGAAAUGCGUAGAUAUAUGGAAGAACACCAGUGGCGAAGGCGGCUGUCUGGUCUGUAACUGACGCUGAGGCUCGAAAGUAUGGGUAGCAAACAGGAUUAGAUACCCUGGUAGUCCAUACCGUAAACGAUGAAUGCUAAGUGUUGGAGGGUUUCCGCCCUUCAGUGCUGCAGCUAACGCAUUAAGCAUUCCGCCUGGGGAGUACGGCCGCAAGGCUGAAACUCAAAGGAAUUGACGGGGGCCCGCACAAGCGGUGGAGCAUGUGGUUUAUUCGAAGCUACGCGAAGAACCUUACCAGGUCUUGACAUACUAUGCAAAUCUAAGAGAUUAGACGUUCCCUUCGGGGACAUGGAUACAGGUGGUGCAUGGUUGUCGUCAGCUCGUGUCGUGAGAUGUUGGGUUAAGUCCCGCAACGAGCGCAACCCUUAUUAUCAGUUGCCAGCAUUAAGUUGGGCACUCUGGUGAGACUGCCGGUGACAAACCGGAGGAAGGUGGGGAUGACGUCAAAUCAUCAUGCCCCUUAUGACCUGGGCUACACACGUGCUACAAUGGAUGGUACAACGAGUUGCGAACUCGCGAGAGUAAGCUAAUCUCUUAAAGCCAUUCUCAGUUCGGAUUGUAGGCUGCAACUCGCCUACAUGAAGUCGGAAUCGCUAGUAAUCGCGGAUCAGCAUGCCGCGGUGAAUACGUUCCCGGGCCUUGUACACACCGCCCGUCACACCAU